GCCAGGCAUGGUGGCGCAUGCCUGUAAUCCCAGUGGCUUGGGAGGUGGAGGCAGGAGGAUUGCAAGUUCAAAGCCAGCCUCAG
rnacentral:sRNA from 1 species